AUACGGAGGAUGCGAGCGUUAUCCGGAUUGAUUAGGUUUAAAGGGUGUGUAGGCGGUAUUUUAAGUCAGUGGUGAAAUCUCGGAGCUUAACUUCGAAACUGCCAUUGAUACUGGAAUACUUGAGUAUAGUUGAGGUAGGCGGAAUAUGUAAUGUAGCGGUGAAAUGCAUAGAUAUUACAUAGAACACCGAUUGCGAAGGCAGCUUACUAAACUAUUACUGACGCUGAUGCACGAAAGCGUGGGGAGCGAACAGGAUUAGAAACCCUAGUAGUCC
rnacentral:rRNA from 1 species